rnacentral:rRNA from 1 species
GAUGAACGCUGGCGGCGCGCCUAACACAUGCAAGUCGAACGAUUAAAGCACCUUCGGGUGUGUAUAAAGUGGCGAACGGCUGAGUAACACGUGGGCAACCUGUCCCUUUCAUUGGGAUAGCCACGGGAAACCGUGGAUAAUACCGAAUACUUCGAGACUUCCGCAUGGAAGACUCGAGAAAGCUCCGGCGGAGAGGGAUGGGCCCGCGGCCUGUUAGCUUGUUGGUGGGGUAACGGCCUACCAAGGCAAUGAUGGGUAGCUGGGUUGAGAGACCGACCAGCCAGAUUGGGACUGAGACACGGCCCAGACUCCUACGGGAGGCAGCAGUGGGGAAUCUUGCACAAUGGGCGAAAGCCUGAUGCAGCGACGCCGCGUGCGGGAUGAAGGCCUUCGGGUUGUAAACCGCUUUCAGCAGGGACGAGGCGAAAGUGACGGUACCUGCAGAAGAAGCCCCGGCUAACUACGUG